rnacentral:rRNA from 1 species
UCCAGACUCCUACGGGAGGCAGCAGUGGGGGAUAUUGCACAAUGGGGGGAACCCUGAUGCAGCGACGCCGCGUGGGUGAAGGAGCGUUUCGGCGCGUAAAGCCCUAUCGGCAGGGAAGAAGGAGGACGGUACCUGACUAAGAAGCCCCGGCUAACUACGUGCCAGCAGCCGCGGUAAUACGUAGGGGGCAAGCGUUAUCCGGAUUUACUGGGUGUAAAGGGGGCGCAGACGGCAGCGCAAGCCAGGAGUGAAAGCCCGGGGCCCAACCCCGGGACUGCUCUUGGAACUGCGCGGCUGGAGUGCAGGAGGGGCAGGCGGAAUUCCUGGUGUAGCGGUGAAAUGCGUAGAUAUCAGGAGGAACACCGGUGGCGAAGGCGGCCUGCUGGACUGCGACUGACGUUGAGGCCCGAAAGCGUGGGGAGCAAACAGGAUUAGAUACCCGCGUAGAC